AUGCGGGCGAAGCUGAGCUCCUUGGGCCGGCCGCCCGUGCCCUUGGCCUCGAAGAGCUGCAGCCCGCGCUCGACCUUGGAAAAGGAAUGAGGGUGCCAUGCUGAGCUGAACUCAGAUAGGAUCAGAAGAAUCUCUUUGGGGGACCUGCACAGGCCAGGCUAACAAGAAGGAUGACCCUUAGUGCCACUCGGGUCUGGACUGUUGGAGGGAAAGUCCCUUGAUUCUGUGGGUUACCCUGAACUCAAGCUGGACAUGUGACUCACUUGACUGAAAAAGAGAAACAACACUCCCUCCAUGCCUCAGCAAGUCCCUGGAGAGCCCACCAAGUGCUGGCACUGCUCCAGGCCCCAGGCAUGAGCACCUAGGAUGACUAUCUGCUGACACAGGUUCUACCUGGUCUACUUGGAGUCCUGACACCCUGGAACUGACCAUGCCCGAAAACCCUAGAGAUGUGACUGUCCCCAAGAGGUGCCAGUCACAUAACCACACCCACUGUCCCCCCUGCCUCACUUGCUGCAACUGUUUCUAAUCCCUGUCACCCCAGGCCCUGCUUCUUCCUUCCUCUGCCACCCCCUGAAUUCCUGACUUCAUCUACGCCUGACCAACAGCUACGCCUCCACAGCAGGCCUGCAGGAAGGCAUAGGCCACAGCUGGCCCCUUUUAGUCUAUGCUUAAACAACAUUUGAGAGCAAAGAGAGGCGUCCUUCUGACCCCAGCAGCUUGGACCCCCUUCCCAGCCAGCGCCAAGCCCCUCUCUUACUCCCUCUCAAGAGAAAGCGCCUGAAACUCCUGAACUGAUGAGCUGCACAAAACAAGAUGCUGCUGUGUGCGGACUGGAAGCCAGCAGAGCUCCACCGAAGCCUGUCAACCCCCAGUCAUCAGGGGAGCCCUGAGACUGUCACUCCAAGCCCUGGGCGGUAUCCAGGCCCGGCUGCUCUGAUGGCUUCAGACCGCCCUGCCUGAAGGAGGUAGUGAGCUGAGAAUAUUGGUGGGGAGGUGGUCCUUGACCUCUCUGGAUCCCUAUCCUGGAGCGCAAACCACCUGGGAACAAAGGAACAUCAGACCUCCCGGCCGACCUCGUGGGAUGCGGGACAGCCCCUUUUUCUAGAUCUCCCAAACGGGCUGGAACUUCAACCCCACCGAGCUCCUCUGUAACCCACCAUCUUGCUGUGACCCCUUAGCAUGUGUGCACAUGUGCAAGCACACAUGCAUACACGAGUAUCUCGGGGAAACCCAGACAUCCCACCACCUCCCCAGGCCUACCCUCAAGGAAACGCAUCUUGCCAGAGUUGCCUCCCCCUCCAAGGCAGCCAAUCACUUAGGAAUCUAAGGACAGGCUUCUUCAAACUGCCACCUCCCGGACAAUCACCCGGCCAGGGUACCGGCCAGUGCAGCACCAGGGUCCAGCUGGCCUCUCUCAGCUGCUCAGUAUCUUGUGCUUGAGACUUGCAGCAGCUGUCUUUCCAGCUAAGCCUCCUCCUCCACAUGUCCAGAGAACAGCCAACGACAGAAAAGGAAGCAGGAGGCCACUUAUUUCAGCCCAUAGAGCCGGCAUCUUCAAGGUGACUCCUGAGAGCCUAAGAAAUAGACUUGAAGGUAAUGGUCCCUGGUGUGUGUGUGUUGGGGUGGUCAACUGAGAUCCGGCUCAGCUUUAAGGCCCAACACAUGAUUUCUCUAGAGCCCUGCACACAUCAAGUCUCUCUGAGAAGUCAACCAUAUCACUGGGCCAGGAUUCUCUAUUCCAGGCCCCAAGAACCCCAGAACCUGACUGCAACAUCAGCCCAGAGCUCUCUUCCUCUCUCCAAGCCAGGACUUUUCUCUUUUCAAAUCCAUGUGUCACUGUAGGAUUGUGAGUUGCCAGGGGCAAUGUUAUAGCUCUCCAUUUCCCCACUGGUCCCCUAACGCCUUUUACAGCAAAGCUCUGAAGUUCUGAAAUAUGAAGGUCAUAUUGAGGUGGAAAUGGGGGCCCAUAACUUUUUUGUUCUGUUUUGCUUUGGUUUGGUGUUUUGUAGCGCUAUGGAUCAAACUCAGGGCCUGGCACAAACUAGGCACGUACUCUGCCACUGAGCUACAGCUCCCCAGCUCUAUGACUUUCUUUAAAUACUACAAAACUGGAAAAGGAAAUCCCGUAUUAUAGUCAGGCUUCACAGACUAAUUAACAGGUUGCCUUUCUUUGCUUUUGUCUGGGAUGACGUCAAUUCACUUUGCUAACAGGUAAAUUCAUGUGCUGAACAAAAAAGUCUGAAUGAUUGUUCUUUGCUUAAUUUUUAAAAAAUAAAAACAAAUGAGUACUUAGGACCUAUAAACGCAGGUUGCUUGCAGCUGACAUCUCAGGAAGUUCCAGCCCACGCCACUCCUGUGUAAAGAAUGCCAGGCCCCUCCUGGAGGGCCCCCUGCCCUGGCCAAGCCCUGCCCCAGGCCCUCCAUCUGUGACCUUUGUCACCACAGAGGAGUCAGGCACUGCUUCUGGUCUUUGGAAGCACUGGAAAUACCGGAGCCUGGAAACACUCGCUGCCUCCGUAUUUACACACUUUACCAUACAUGGGAAUGACUCAAUACUGGCGUCAGACAAAUUCCUGGGACAAUGCGUAGUACAAGCCACGUCAUUACCAUAUAAAUUCCUGACAUCUGGAAACAGCAGGCAAGGCUCGGUCAGAACUCAGGACCUACCUCCCCUUUCCCUUCCCAAGCAGCUUUAAUGUCUGCGCCACCCCCCAAAAGAAACAUGGCCCUUUUCCAGGCUUCUUUUCUUU